rnacentral:tRNA from 1 species
GCCCUAUUAGCUCAAUUGGUAGAGCAUUGUGCAAAAACACAAAAGAUGUGGGUUCGAAUCCCACGUAGGCUC